GAAAUGCGAUAAUUAAUGUGAAUUGCAGAAGUCAGUGAAUCAUCGAGUCUUUGAACGCACAUUGCGCCCCCUGGUAUUCCGGGGGGCAUGCCUGUCCGAGCGUCAUUGCUGCCCUCAAGCACGGCUUGUGUGUUGGGCUUCCGUCCCUGGCAACGGGGACGGGCCCAAAAGGCAGUGGCGGCACCAUGUCUGGUCCUCGAGCGUAUGGGGCUUUGUCACCCGCUCCCGUAGGUCCAGCUGGCAGCUAGCCUCGCAACCAAUCUUUUUAACCAGGUUGACCUCGGAUCAGGUAGGGAUACCCGCUGAACUUAAGC
rnacentral:misc_RNA from 1 species